rnacentral:rRNA from 1 species
UACGUAGGGGGCAAGCGUUGUCCGGAAUCAUUGGGCGUAAAGCGCGUGUAGGCGGCUCGAUUAGUCCGCUGUGAAAGUCCAGGGCUCAACCCUGGAAUGCCGGUGGAUACUGUCGGGCUAGAGUCCGGAAGGGGCGAGUGGAAUUCCUGGUGUAGCGGUGAAAUGCGCAGAUAUCAGGAGGAACACCAAUGGCGAAGGCAGGC